GGGCGUAUAGAUCAGCUUGGAAGAUCGCUUCGUUCGCAACGAAGAGGCCGCGAGUUCAAAUCUCGCUAUGUCCACCA
rnacentral:tRNA from 1 species